AAAAACCCGCCUCACUUGACCCCGAUAUCACGCUAUAACCAGUUUGUGGUUUCUUUAAUUCAAGCUCUUUCAACCUCAAAUACUUGCCCAUAAAGCUCUAUCGACAUCAUCUAAUUGCAUCAUCACUUUACCUUAAAAUCUCAUGCAUUAUGAUCCUCAUUUAUGUCAUUGUUAACCUUUGAAGCUUCAACGAGAAAGGUAGCUAUGAGUUAAAUCUUUGAGCAAACAAGUUACCACUCUCUUCGCAUUGUUCCACUGAUC
rnacentral:lncRNA from 1 species